AAUGGGGGAAACCCUGAUGCAGCGACGCCGCGUGAGCGAAGAAGGCCUUCGGGUCGUAAAGCUCUGUCCUAAGGGAAGAAGAAGACGGUACCUUAGGAGGAAGCCCCGGCUAACUACGUGCCAGCAGCCGCGGUAAUACGUAGGGGGCGAGCGUUAUCCGGAAUUACUGGGCGUAAAGGGUGCGCAGGCGGCCAUUUAAGUCAGAUGUGAAAGGCUACGGCUUAACCGUAGUUAGCAUUUGAAACUAGAAGGCUUGAGUGCAGUAGAGGAGAGUGGAAUUCCUAGUGUAGCGGUGAAAUGCGUAGAUAUUAGGAGGAACACCAGUGGCGAAGGCGACUCUCUGGACUGCAACUGACGCUGAGGCACGAAAGCGUGGGUAGCGAA
rnacentral:rRNA from 1 species